rnacentral:tRNA from 1 species
GCCUGGUGGCUCAGUCGGUUAAGUGUCUGACUUCGGCUCAGAUCAUGAUCUCACGGUUCAUGGGUUCAAGCCCCAUGUUGGGCU